AAAAUACUAGGUGGUCAAAUUUAACAAUUAUACUUUUAAUUCAAUUAAAUUGUAAACCAAAACUUUUAUGGAUUUAUUAAACCUCUUUUAAUUAUACACCUUAAUUAAUUAAUAAAACCAUAAGGGUGUGAUUUGAACUUUUUCAAAACAAUACUAGGGUUUUAGAAUUUAACAUUCCUAAUUAAACUUUUAAUCAACUUUUAAAUUCCAAAACUUGAGGGCAAGUUUUGAAACAUUUCAAAACAUUAGGGUUUAGAAUUUAAAUAUACAUCAAAAUUAAACUAUUAAUCAAAAUUUAAAUUCCAAAACUUGAGGGCAAGUUUUGAAACCUUUUUCAAAACAUUAGGGUUUCAACUAUUUAAAUUUCAAAACAAAACUUUUGAGUUCAAAUUUAAACUAUAAAACCUAAAGGGGAAAAUAUGAAACUUUUCAUAACACAAGGAUCAAAUAACAAAUAAUCUAAAUUAACAUUUAAUCACAUAAUUAUCCAUAUUUGAUUUAUUUAAUGAUUUCUUGCAAAACAAUUUACCAAUUUAAUCAAAAUAAUUAAUCAAUUAUCACAUAAGGAAACAAAUAUUUUAUUAAUUGAUAAAUAUCUUCAAUUAGAUCAAGAAUAUAGUCAUAUAUAUCAUAAAAUCGGAUUUAUAUUGAUCUAAUAUGAUAAAGGCAAGUAUCUCAAAGAUAAACAGCAAGAAAUCCCGAAAAUAGCUCCAUCUGACGCUCGAACUCGCCGAGUACCCCCAUGGACUCGCCGAGUAGGGGCAACUCGCCGAGUCCACAGUGGGACUCGCCGAGUCCAUCAUGCAGAACCACAAAAAUCGAAUUUUUUCAACAUACAAGGCAUCAAUACAAUAGAAACCAAUCUAGGCUCUGAUACCACUGAUGGGUUUUGGUCAUAAGAACAUCCUAUGUGCUCAUACAAACCCUAAUGCUUGGAUCUAGGUUUCUCUAUUGUACAUGCAAUUUAUCCAAGACUAUAAACCCUAGAUCUAGCAUAUGAUAAUCAAUAUAACAUAUAAUUAGGGUUUAGAUCAUACCUUGAUUGUUAUGUAGCAAUAACAAUCCCAAAUCCUCCUUGUAUUGACUUUAGAAAGCUUAGAGUCACAAAUGUCACUCCUCUAAUGGUUCACAAACACCAUAAGCAAGAGGAUGAAGAGGAGAGAGGAUGGAGGCUGCCCAAAACGUGUUCUAACCCUAGAAAAGAAGUUCCCCACGUUUUUGAGCCUUAAGGGUUCUAUAUAUAGUGAGGCUAUUAGGGUUAUCUAACAAGGAAACCCUAAUUUGGAUGCUUAAGCCCUAAGCAACCCAUGGAGCCCUUUCCUUAAGGCCUUGGACGAUUUCAUAUGGGCUUCCCCCAUAGAAUUCGUCCACCUUAUAAUAUAAGGCAAUCCAUGGCCCAAAUUGCAAUUAUCUUAUAAUUACAAUUCCAGUCCCUUAAGUUUAAUUAAUCUCUUUUAGUCACAAAACUAAUUACCAAUUAAUUCUUGACUAAUAUUAAUUAAACAAUAUGAUUUCUCCUUUAAUAUAUUAUUCUCAUAAUAUAUUAAUAAAUCAUAUUUAAUCCUUUCUCUCCAUAAUUCAUCCUAUCAAGUUGCUUUGGUGAAGGCAACCCAAAAGGACCAUGCACCAUCGGGUCAAGUACAUACCAAAAUAGUUAUGGACUUAGACACUAAUCCAACAGUCUCCCACUUGGAUAAGUCUAAUAACUAUUAUGCGUAUGACUUCAGAUCCUGAUCUGCAAUCGUAGCUUUCCAAAGCCGCUGUCAACUCUGAUCCUAUCAGAUACGCGUGUCCUUAGAUAAGGGAUCAUAUAUUCCUCCAUUCUAGAUAUCAUAUGAGAUAUGAUUUCAAAUCAUUCUCUUUGUACUAUAUCUCGAUUUCCGAUUUAUGACGACUGACUAAUUGAACAAAUCAAAUUAGCCCUAGCCCGGCCGAGCAUUUACGUUUGUCAUCACUAAAUCAUCGAGGGGCCCAAAGAUAUCGCUUUUAUCCUACUUUGGAUAAAAGGAACGGAUAAACUUUGAUACAAUGCUUGCUUGCACUCACUCACCGAAUCACACACAACAAUAUGUUUUAUAACACCAAGUUACUAGUGCGUUUACAUAUUAUCAAUGUGCAACCGAUUUGCAAGAUACAACUCACACAUCUCGGUUUCAAGAAUAUAAGAUGUUAUCGUCUCACCAAUCACUCGUGAUACAAUUCAUGGAGUGAUCCAAGUGAGCGUGGGUUUAAUCCAAUGCUCAAAUCAUAUUCAUAAGCACUCAUGAACGUUGCAGCAAACAUUUGCUUAUGUCUAAUACUCUUUUAGACAAUCCACACACCAAUUCACGACAGUCUUCAUUCAUAUCUACUUCCAACAUAUGAACGACUGUGGCCCGUUCGAAUAAUUCGAUUAUUCUUAAUAAACUCAAUUAUUCUGGAAGUCAAAACAUGCAAAUGUGAAACACAAGAAUAAUACUAAUCCCAUAUGGCCUCAAACCUUUGAGUAUAAAUAAAACACCUUUUAUUUAUCACCAUAUCGAUUACUCAUUAUUUGUCGUUUCGGGUAAUCAACUUCUUACUUGAAUUAUUACACUUGUCCCAUGCUCCUAGCAUGCACACAAUGUUUACCUAUGGUUCUUACUUUGUGAAAUAGAUCAAAUUGAACACAUUUCCAAUCAUUCUCAUUUCACAACUCCAAAUCCUUUUUCAUAAGUGAAAGAAUAUCAAAUUCUUGCUACUUAUAGAAUAUGCUAGAUUCUAACAUUCUAUGCAAUGAUCCUUUCGUAAUGUCACUGCACCAAAGUCACAAAGACUAUUGCCAAUGAUAUUACAAAGUCCUCUAUCGGAGAUUGUUACAAGACAAUUCCUUAGAUAUGAUGUCUCUCACUCAAAGUACAUUCCUUUGAACAUCCUUUUGCAUAAAAGUUUCUAAUCUAGACAUAGAUUUUCAAUAUUCAAUUCCCAAUAUGGACACGCUUCCAUAUUUUCCAUAUGACAACUCAUUCUUAAUAGAAUCUUAUCUAUUCGUAAUGAUGUCGAUAUGGUCCAUCCAAUAUGGAAACAUUUCCAUAAUUUCCAUAUGACAACUCAUUCUUAAUAGAAUCUUUUCUAUUCAUAAUAAUGUCGAUAUGGUCCAUCCAAUACCAUGCUUCCAACUACUCACAAGCGACCAAUCCUCGUCGAACUUUGGAUUGUCCUUUGAUAGUUGUUUAAUUAUUUUAGUCAAAACCAAUUCUAGUCCCUUUUCCCUCUAAAUGCGCUCGACAUUUGGAAAAUUUUAGAAUGGUCAAACAUUAAAGCAUUUGCAAUCGAUCCUAUACCCGAAGCGUAUGGGACACGACGCAUAAUGUUUUAUUUGCUAUGUUCUCAAAAUUCGAAUUGUGAAGAGGAAUGCCGUAAUCAUAAUCGAAAUUUUAAGAACACACUAUGUACCUUUGACUAAAUUUAUUAACAUUUCUCAACCUAAUCCUUUAGAUUUGAAAUGAAGCAUAAUAUUCUCUCCCUUAAUUAUAGCAAAACAACUUUACAACCCUUACGACUUUGCAAGGUAUAACUCUUGUUUUCUAUAAUUAAUAUUGCCAACUUGCAAUACGUGCCUUAAUAAUCAUACAAUCAUAACAUUUAUGCUCCCACUAUCAUGAUGAUUAUUAUAAAACAUAACACUUAUGCUCCCACUAGCUUCGACAUGUAUUCAUAAACAUCUUAACUUUCAGAAAAACAAUACUUAUUGAAUUUCUUAAGUUCAUGUUUCUAAUACUUAGUGCUUUGAUAAUCUUUUAUCAAGGCUUCUUGAACUUAUACACCUUUGCCUUCGAUAGUUCAUAUGUGUGUCUAAACAAUUAAGACUAAUUGCCAAACCUCACAAUUCAAAUUAUGGAAAGGGAUACCGUAACCAUAAUCGAAUUCGAGAAUGCAAUUUUACAAUCACUAUCUUCUUAAAAUCUUUCUUAGUGAAAGCAUUUCCUCACAAUCAUUUUCAUGAAGGAGGAAAUCUUAUGACACUUAGAUUUAAACGGUGUAUGUGUUCCUAUCCAUGUGAAUUUGUUAAAACCAAAGUUUACGACAAAUUCAAACUCAUAUGGACCGAACUUUCUUAAUCUUGAUUUCUUGCCUUAUGGUAGCACAGCUGCCCACCAUGUCUUCCAAGUAGUUAAGCAGCUCACCCUUUCCUAUCAAUGUACCUUUCAUUGAUUAAGGUGCUUUGCCUUUUAUGCGUUCAAAAUGAGAACUCAUAGAACUCACAUGCAUAAUUAACUCGAUUGGAUUGGCACAGAAACAAAAUAAUGUCAACACGAUAGGUUGUAAACCUCAACUCGUGUGCUAGUGAUGAUCGAUAAGGUUUAUUUGAUUUGUUCUUGAAACCUUUCAAGACCAUUAAGACUCCCACUGACUCCUUGACAUAUAAGAUUCUCUUGUCAAUAAACAUUUCUUGACAAACAAAUAUUCAAGAGUUAGUGUAGUUUUUAUCAAAACACUUCAUAAAUUGGUCCUAGUUGGUCUUUGUCUUAUCCAAGACAUCACAACUUUCCACAUUUGAUGAAUGUUAUAAACCUUCUUAAUACUUUUCACUCAAUGUCACAAUCUUAACUCUAAGACUUGUUUUGGAACGAAGUAUGAUUGACUUCUUGAUUUAACCAUUUCUUCAAUUCUUGAUUCCUCUUCUUAGACAUACAAUUGUACUAAGACUCACUUAGAGGAUCAAUUGAGAUAUGGUUCUUAAUCAUUAAGACCUAUCAUAAAGCAUAAAAGGUACUCUCCCUUCUUCUUAGAAUGGAGAAACUUUUAUCUUUCUGCCUACUUGAUUCUUCUUAUUCGUUCUGCUAUUGAUUUAAACUUUUUCAAUCAAUUCAGAAUUACACUUAAUCUUGUAAGUAUAAUCAUAUUUACUAAACCUUUAGUAAAUCAUGACGAAUAUCUUUGUUACUCUUAUGGUGGACUUGAUCAACACGCAACUUUGUGUACUCGAUCUCCUAGUCCUUCACUUGACACUUUGUCAAUGAAUUAGUCUAAUUUCCAAAUAUGAAAUUUCUCAUUCAUCGUGCAACCAAGUUGCAUGAUUCCAAGUUUCUGUCCAAUUGAAACUUGGGCGAUGAGAAACUCUCCCUAUUUGGUAAAUUCUCGACUUUCCAUAAAUAACAUAAUAAGAACCAAAUCCAUUAUUGCUAAUAAUAGAAACAUUCAAACAUCAAUUUUUCAUAUACGCCAUUGCAAGGAUAAAUAAAUAAUAUAAAAUCAAAAUUUAUUUUAUUGCGGAAAAAAUUUGUCCUUACAAUGCAAUUCAUUGAAAAACUAUGCUAAUACAUCUUUCUUAGCAAUCUAAUUCUAACUCUAAGUAGUAGCUCAAGAAUCUAAUCUUCGAGAAAUGCGAUCGAAAUCCAUUCCUUCACGGUUAGAUUCUGCUCACUUCUUCCCUUAAGCUUCCUUUCUUUUCUUCGAUCCUACAAAACAUCAAUUGUAAUCUUAUCACAUUAUGUAUUAAGAAUCUAGAAUAGAAGCUUAAAAGAGUUAGUUAAUGGAUUUUACCUAUAUUAGAGCCAUACGUUUCGACUCUCCCAUCUCUUAGAUCUCUUAGGUAAAUGGGGCAGCUUCGUCUCCAAUGCCCUUUCUCUUGGCAAUAAAAGCAAAUUGACUCUUUUGGAACAUGACAUGGAACUACUUCAGACAUUGCCUUUCUCUUAUGAUCAAACUUUUCGAUCAUAGCAUGUCUUUCGUUGCCAUUGUCUAUAUCCAUAGAGGUCUUGAAGGCAGAUUCACCAAUCAACUUUGCUUUUCUAUUGCGCCAAACCAUUGCUGAUUCAGCAGCAAUAAGCAUAUAGGUGAGAUCUAUAAGGGUCACGUCGCGGUUCAUCAUAUAGUACUCUCUUACGAACUCACUAUAUGAGUUAGGAAGUGACUGAAGAACCCAAUCAACAGCCAUUUCCUCACAGACAACGGAUCCCAACAUUCUUAACCUAUCAAUGUGUGACUUCAUCCCUAGGACGUGUGCACACACCGACUUUCCUUCUUUAUGUUUACUUGCCAAAAGGGCUUGAGUGAUCUUGAACUUUUCAAGCCUUUGAACUUGUGGGUUAGGGAGAAUAAUUGGAGGAGGAGGAGGAAGUGAAGCAUGAUUUCUUGUUCCUCGAUCGAAUCGUGGAAUAUCAUCUUCAUGUGGAAUGCUUGUUCCACGGGAUUUGGGAAGACCAUAGUUGUCGAACUUUGACAUCUACAAAACGGGAGAAAACGAAUUCAAGUUAGUUGAUUGAUUGAGUCCUUAGUAAAUCACCCAAAUGAGAUACUAAGGCUAGGACCCAACACAAUAUUCUACAACUCGGGAGAGGGAUGCCGUAACCCUAAUUGCAGAAUAUUUGAAGGUAAGUGAAUGACGAUUCACUAAUUUCCACCAUGAAAAACGAAAAAGAAAUUUAAGUUUUAAAUCUAUGAAAACUCCUAGAUCCUUUGAGAUUCAUUGAACUUUCAAUGGCAUGUUUAAAUCUCGAUAUGCCCCUCUUGUUUGUGACUGGGAUGCCGAGGAUCACAAAGCGGGUGUGAAUAACCAUGCAAACUUACAUGGUGCCCUCACAUGUUACAGUCACCUAUUCGAUGUGCCGGUAAACCACACACGCUCCACCGAACUAUGACAAACAUUGAGUCACCCUUUGCUACCUUUGCUUAGAACCAUUUAGUGUGCCGGUAAACCACACACGCUCCACUAACGUCUUCGCAAGGGCACAAAGUGUAAUUUCAUGGAAUUGCAUCAAUUCACUUUUGCCUAAGUAACUAAGAUUGGGAAUUUUAUGAAAACAUUUAGUUACUUUAAUAAUUCAUUAUACUUAUAAUGGAAGGUUUCGUCCUAUCCUACCCGUUCGGCUAACGACCCUCCACUAGUCAAGAGUGCGGUGGGUAAGAGUGGAUACCCAUUCAAUCGCCAUUUUAUAGGCAAUUUCCUUAAACACCCCUUAUAGACCAGCUUCGUGAAUGAGGCCUACUAACGGUAAGACUGACUUUUACUCAUACAUAUAUAUAAUGUUAGACUUUUAAUGUUAUAUAUAGUAUAGGGUGUAUUUUAUACUUUCAAAAUACUAGGUGGUCUAAUUUAACAAUUAUACUUUUAAUUCAAUUAAAUUGUAAACCUAAACUUUUAUGGAUUUAUUAAACUUCUUUUAAUUAUACACCUUAAUUAAUUAAUAAAACCAUAAGGGUGUGAUUUGAACUUUUUCAAAACAAUACUAGAGUUUUAGAAUUUAACAUUCCUAAUUAAACUUUUAAUCAACUUUUAAAUUCCAAAACUUGAGGGCAAGUUUUGAAACAAUUCCAAACAUUAGGGUUUAGAAUUUAAAUAUACAUCAAAAUUAAACAAUUAAUCAAAAUUUAAAUUCCAAAACUUGAGGGCAAGUUUUGAAACCUUUUUCAAAACAUUAGGGUUUUAACUAUUUAAAUUUCAAAACAACAAAACUUUUGGGUUCAAAUUUAAACUAUAAAACCUAAGGGGAAAAUAUGAAACUUUUCAUAACAACAAGGAUCAAAUAACAAAUAAUCUAAAUUAACAAUUAAUCACAUAAUUAUCCAUAUUUGAUUUAUUUAAUGAUUUCUUGCAAAACAAUUUAUCAAUUUAGUCAAAAUAAUUAAACUAUUAUCACAUAAGGAAACAAUUAUCUUAUUAAUUGAUAAAUAUCUUCAAUUAGAUCAAGAAUAUAGUCAAAUAUAUCAUAAAAUCGGAUUUAUAUUGAUCUAAUAUGAUAAGGUAACUAUCCAUAAGCAAAAACAGCAAGAAAUCACGAAGAUAUCCCCAUCUGACGAGUUGACUCGUCGAGUCAAGCUUGGACUCGUCGAGUCUGCAUGGACUCGGCGAGUUCAGCUAUGGACUCGGCGAGUCCAGCCUCCAGAACAUCAAAAAUCGAAUUUUUUGAACAUGUAAUGCAUCAAU
rnacentral:lncRNA from 1 species